UAGGGAAUCUUCCGCAAUGGGCGAAAGCCCGACGGAGCAACGCCGCGUGAGUGAUGAAGGUCUUCGGAUCGUAAAACUCUGUUAUUAGGGAAGAACAAAUGUGUAAGUAACUAUGCACGUCUUGACGGUACCUAAUCAGAAAGCCACGGCUAACUACGUGCCAGCAGCCGCGGUAAUACGUAGGUGGCAAGCGUUAUCCGGAAUUAUUGGGCGUAAAGCGCGCGUAGGCGGUUUUUUAAGUCUGAUGUGAAAGCCCACGGCUCAACCGUGGAGGGUCAUUGGAAACUGGAAAACUUGAGUGCAGAAGAGGAAAGUGGAAUUCCAUGUGUAGCGGUGAAAUGCGCAGAGAUAUGGAGGAACACCAGUGGCGAAGGCGACUUUCUGGUCUGUAACUGACGCUGAUGUGCGAAAGCGUGGGGAUCAAACAGGAUUAGAUACCCUGGUAGUCCACGCCGUAAACGAUGAGUGCUAAGUGUUAGGGGGUUUCCGCCCCUUAGUGCUGCAGCUAACGCAUUAAGCACUCCGCCUGGGGAGUACGACCGCAAGGUUG
rnacentral:rRNA from 1 species